GGCUACGCAAUUGCAGUCGAGCGGAUGAAUGGAGCUUGCUCCCUGAUUAGCGGCGGAGGGUGAGUAAUGCCUAGGAAUCUGCCGGGUAGUGGGGGACAACGUUUCGAAAGGAACGCUAAUACCGCAGACAUCCUACGGGAGAAAGUGGGGGAUCUUCGGACCUCACGCUAUCAGAUGAGCCUAGGUCGGAUUAGCUAGUUGGUGAGGUAAAGCUCACCAAGGCGACGAUCCGUAACUGGUCUGAGAGGAUGAUCAGUCACACUGGAACUGAGACACGGUCCAGACUCCUACGGGAGGCAGCAGUGGGGAAUAUUGGACAAUGGGCGAAAGCCUGAUCCAGCCAUGCCGCGUGUGUGAAGAAGGUCUUCGGAUUGUAAAGCACUUUAAGUUGGGAGGAAGGGCAGUAAGUUAAUACCUUGCUGUUUUGACGUUACCAACAGAAUAAGCACCGGCUAACUUCGUGCCAGCAGCCGCGGUAAUACGAAGGGUGCAAGCGUUAAUCGGAAUUACUGGGCGUAAAGCGCGCGUAGGUGGUUCGUUAAGUUGGAUGUGAAAGCCCCGGGGUCUACCUGGGAACUGCGUCCAAAACUGGGGAGCUAGAGUAUGGCAGAUGGUGGGGGAAUUUCCUGUGGAGCGGUCCCAAGCGCAGAUAUA
rnacentral:rRNA from 2 species